GGGCGCGUAGCUCAGCGGGAGAGCACCCGCCUUACAAGCGGGAGGUCGCUGGUUCGAAACCAGCCGCGCCCACCA
rnacentral:tRNA from 1 species